GGUGGGGGGGUGUGGUCCCUCAGCCCAGAUUGCAAGAGGGCACAGGCCAGGCCAAGGGACCCCACUGGUGCAUG
rnacentral:pre_miRNA from 1 species